UACGUAGGGACCGAGCGUUGUCCGGAAUCAUUGGGCGUAAAGAGCGUGUAGGCGGCCACUUAAGUCCUGCGUGAAAUCUUGCGGCUCAACCGCAAGCGGUCGUGGGAAACUGGGUGGCUAGAGUGCGGGAGAGGAGAGUGGAAUUCCUGGUGUAGCGGUGGAAUGCGCAGAUAUCAGGAAGAACACCCGUGGCGAAGGCGGCUCUCUGGUACGUGACUGACGCUGAGACGCGAAAGCGUGGGGAGCGAACAGG
rnacentral:rRNA from 1 species